CAGCUACCACAGGGCUCAGCCUCUCUGCUUUCCCAGGGAAGGAAGACCGUGAGCAGGCUCCCUGGGUCCCAGCACCAGGCUUCAGGGAAGUUUCACCUGGGCCGGUGUGACUCACAUCUCCCUGUGGAGAUUAACCGUGAAGCAAUGGAGAGGCCCGAGAGAAACGUGCCUUGACUCAUCCAGGAGGCAAGGGAAGAAUCUGCUGCACUGCUGGAAGAGGUCAGUGCUCGGAGAAAUGGGCCCUGGCCCCUGUUGGCAAUUGCCAGCACCUGCUCCCCAGGCUGGCCCUUCGCUGUGUGCAAUGGCAGCACUGGGCCAGAUUGCGAUGCUGGCUGCACAGCUGCCUGGGCUGCAGGGAAGGCAGUGGGGAC
rnacentral:lncRNA from 1 species